rnacentral:rRNA from 1 species
AUUGAACGCUGGCGGCAUGCCUUACACAUGCAAGUCGAACGGCAGCACGGGUGCUUGCACCUGGUGGCGAGUGGCGAACGGGUGAGUAAUACAUCGGAACAUGUCCUGUAGUGGGGGAUAGCCCGGCGAAAGCCGGAUUAAUACCGCAUACGAUCUACGGAUGAAAGCGGGGGACCUUCGGGCCUCGCGCUAUAGGGUUGGCCGAUGGCUGAUUAGCUAGUUGGUGGGGUAAAGGCCUACCAAGGCGACGAUCAGUAGCUGGUCUGAGAGGACGACCAGCCACACUGGGACUGAGACACGGCCCAGACUCCUACGGGAGGCAGCAGUGGGGAAUUUUGGACAAUGGGCGAAAGCCUGAUCCAGCAAUGCCGCGUGUGUGAAGAAGGCCUUCGGGUUGUAAGGCACUUUUGUCCGGAAAGAAAUCCUUGGCUCUAAUACAGUCGGGGGAUGACGGUACCGGAAGAAUAAGCACCGGCUAACUACGUGCCAGCAGCCGCGGUAAUACGUAGGGUGCGAGCGUUAAUCGGAAUUACUGGGCGUAAAGCGUGCGCAGGCGGUUUGCUAAGACCGAUGUGAAAUCCCCGGGCUCAACCUGGGAACUGCAUUGGUGACUGGCAGGCUAGAGUAUGGCAGAGGGGGGUAGAAUUCCACGUGUAGCAGUGAAAUGCGUAGAGAUGUGGAGGAAUACCGAUGGCGAAGGCAGCCCCCUGGGCCAAUACUGACGCUCAUGCACGAAAGCGUGGGGAGCAAACAGGAUUAGAUACCCUGGUAGUCCACGCCCUAAACGAUGUCAACUAGUUGUUGGGGAUUCAUUUCCUUAGUAACGUAGCUAACGCGUGAAGUUGACCGCCUGGGGAGUACGGUCGCAAGAUUAAAACUCAAAGGAAUUGACGGGGACCCGCACAAGCGGUGGAUGAUGUGGAUUAAUUCGAUGCAACGCGAAAAACCUUACCUACCCUUGACAUGGUCGGAAUCCCGCUGAGAGGUGGGAGUGCUCGAAAGAGAACCGGCGCACAGGUGCUGCAUGGCUGUCGUCAGCUCGUGUCGUGAGAUGUUGGGUUAAGUCCCGCAACGAGCGCAACCCUUGUCCUUAGUUGCUACGCAAGAGCACUCUAAGGAGACUGCCGGUGACAAACCGGAGGAAGGUGGGGAUGACGUCAAGUCCUCAUGGCCCUUAUGGGUAGGGCUUCACACGUCAUACAAUGGUCGGAACAGAGGGUUGCCAACCCGCGAGGGGGAGCUAAUCCCAGAAAACCGAUCGUAGUCCGGAUUGCACUCUGCAACUCGAGUGCAUGAAGCUGGAAUCGCUAGUAAUCGCGGAUCAGCAUGCCACGGUGAAUACGUUCCCGGGUCUUGUACACACCGCCCGUCACACCAUGGGAGUGGGUUUUACCAGAAGUGGCUAGUCUAACCGCAAGGAGGACGGUCACCACGGUAGGAUUCAUGACUGGGGUG